UUUUCCAGAUGGCAGUGGCAUGGAUGGCAAUACAGAUGAGCUGCUACAGGGUCAGUUAUUGGACACUGUGAAUGUAGCCAAGGUGUGUGCCAAAGCCAUUGACUGUCCAGGCGGUGAGAAGUGCUGCAGAAAUAAAUGUACAGUUGAAUGUACACCUCUAUAUAACUGGGCCUGAUCCAUGACUCGGACUGAUGUGCUGAGAACUCAUCCAUGAUGAUCAAUGUCCCGCCAGACAGAAGUGUUGCCCAACCACCUGUGACCAUGCAUACAGCUAACCAUGUCAAUUUAGCCAUCAGGAAUAAGUCUAUGAUUUGGUGGUUGUGUUUUCUCUUUUCUUUUUCUUUUUUUCCUCCAUGCUAUACAGAGUUCUUAACUGUAAAUGUCUUUUCAAUUCAUAAAAAAUCUCAGUUUAGUAAAACUUCUCUGUGUAUGUUGUUGGGGUGUGUGGCAUGGAUGUACCUUGAAAGUCAGUCUCCAGUUGACUAGCAGAGAUGAUAAAAGGUGAUUGUAAUGCCAAUAAUACACUGUGUGAGAGUGCUUUCACUGAAUUUAAUGGGACUAUAAUUGAGGAAAUAAUGGAUAAAAUGGGAUUAGUUUGUCUUAACAAUGGUAGCAGUACAGGACUGGAUGUAGUGGAUCAUUUUAACUGCUGUAUUUUUCAGUUUGAUUGGUUUUUAUCUUGUGUUUAUGUAACUCGUAUUAUUGCAACUCCGUUUUUGCCAUGAAGAUUAGAUGCUGACAUGCCAAUAACAAUAAAUUACUACUACU